GGGGGGCACAUGACCGCUGGUUACCCAAUGGGCUGAGAGGGGAGUGGGGGGCACAUGAAUGCUGGUUACCCAAUGGGCUGAGAGGGGAGUGGGGGCACAUGAACGCUGGUUACCCAACGGGCUGAGAGGGGAGUGGGGGGGGGCACAUGACCGCUGGUUACCCAAUGGGCUGAGAGGGGAGGGGGGCACAUGAACGCUGGUUACCCAGCGGGCUGAGAGGGAAGGGAGGGGGCACAUGAAUGCUGGUUACCCAACGGGCUGAGAGGGGAGUGGGGGAGGCACAUGAACGCUGGUUACCCAACGGGCUGAGAGGGGAAGGGAGGGGGCACAUGACCGCUGGUUACCCAAUGGGCUGAGAGGGGAGUGGGGGCACAUGAACGCUGGUUACCCAAUGGGCUGAGAGGG
ensembl:lncRNA